UGGCGGGUGCUAUACAUGCAGUCGAGCGGACAGAUGGGUAAGCUUGCUUCCCUGAUGUUAGCGGCGGACGGGUGAGUAACACGUGGGUAACCUGCCUGUAAGUACUGGGAUAACUCCGGGAAACCGGGGCUAAUACCGGAUGCUUGAUUGAACCGCAUGGUUCAAUUAUAAAAGGUGGCUUUUAGCUACCACUUACAGAUGGACCCGCGGCGCAUUAGCUAGUUGGUGAGGUAACGGCUCACCAAGGCAACGAUGCGUAGCCGACCUGAGAGGGUGAUCGGCCACACUGGGACUGAGACACGGCCCAGACUCCUACGGGAGGCAGCAGUAGGGAAUCUUCCGCAAUGGACGAAAGUCUGACGGAGCAACGCCGCGUGAGUGAUGAAGGUUUUCGGAUCGUAAAACUCUGUUGUUAGGGAAGAACAAGUACCGUUCGAAUAGGGCGGUACCUUGACGGUACCUAACCAGAAAGCCACGGCUAACUACGUGCCAGCAGCCGCGGUAAUACGUAGGUGGCAAGCGUUGUCCGGAAUUAUUGGGCGUAAAGCGCGCGCAGGCGGUUUCUUAAGUCUGAUGUGAAAGCCCCCGGCUCAACCGGGGAGGGUCAUUGGAAACUGGGGAACUUGAGUGCAGAAGAGGAGAGUGGAAUUCCACGUGUAGCGGUGAAAUGCGUAGAGAUGUGGAGGAACACCAGUGGCGAAGGCGACUCUCUGGUCUGUAACUGACGCUGAGGCGCGAAAGCGUGGGGAGCGAACAGGAUUAGAUACCCUGGUAGUCCACGCCGUAAACGAUGAGUGCUAAGUGUUAGAGGGUUUCCGCCCUUUAGUGCUGCAGCAAACGCAUUAAGCACUCCGCCUGGGGAGUACGGUCGCAAGACUGAAACUCAAAGGAAUUGACGGGGGCCCGCACAAGCGGUGGAGCAUGUGGUUUAAUUCGAAGCAACGCGAAGAACCUUACCAGGUCUUGACAUCCUCUGACAACCCUAGAGAUAGGGCUUCCCCUUCGGGGGCAAAAUGACAGGUGGUGCAUGGUUGUCCUCACCUCCUGUCCUGAGAAUGUUGGGUUAAAUCCCGCAACAAGCGCAACCCUUGAUUCUUAUUUGCCACCAUUCAUUUGGGCACUCUAAGGGGACUGGCGGGGACAAACCCGCAGGAAGAGGGGGGAUAAAAUCAAAAAAUAAAUGCCCCUUAUAAACUGGG
rnacentral:rRNA from 1 species